GCCUAAGGCGAGGCUGAAGAGCGUAGCCGAUGGACAACAGGUUAAUAUUCCUGUACCGCGUAAGGUUGAUUGAGCGAAGGGGUGACGUGGAAGGGUAAGUAGGCCAGCCGUUGGUCGUGCUGGUGCUAAGCUUGUAGGCGUUGAGAGUGGGGUUAGAAGACCACUUGAGCUGAGGAGUGAUGGCGAGUCCGCAAGGGCAGAAGCUACCGAACCCAUGCCACCAAGAAAAGCCUCUAGUGAGACCUGCGUGACCGUACCGCAAACCGACACAGGUAGAUGGGUUGAGAAUACUAAGGGGAACGGGAGAACCUUCGUUAAGGAAUUAGGCAAACUAGAUCCGUAACUUCGGGAUAAGGAUCGCCUCGGUAGGCUGAAAGGGUGAACACCCUGGAGGUUGAAGAGGCCGCAGAGAAAUGGCUCUAUCAACUGUUUAUCAAAAACACAGGUCUGUGCGAAGUCGUAAGACGAAGUAUACAGGCUGACGCCUGCCCAGUGCCGGAAGGUUAAGGGGAGAGGUUAACGCUUCGAACUGAAGCCCCGGUGAACGGCGGCCGUAACUAUAACGGUCCUAAGGUAGCGAAAUUCCUUGUCGGGUAAGUUCCGACCCGCACGAAAGGCGUAAUGAAUGGAGCACUGUCUCAACGAAGGACCCGGUGAAACUGAAAUAGGAGUGAAGAUGCUUCUUACCCGCAGCAGGACAAAAAGACCCCGUGGAGCUUUACUGUAGCUUGACAUUGGGUUAGGACUUAAACUGUGUAGGAUAGGUGGGAGACUGUGAAGCUGGACCGCCAGGUUCGGUGGAGUCGCCGGUGAAAUACCACUCUGUUUAAGUUUUGAUUCUAACCUUACCCGUAAGCCGGGUAGGGGACCGUGUCAGGUGGGCAGUUUGACUGGGGCGGUCGCCUCCCAAAGAGUAACGGAGGCGUGCAAAGGUUCCCUCAGGCUGAAUGGAAACCAGUCGUAGAGUGCAAACGCAUAAGGGAGCUUGACUGCGAGACCCACAAGUCGAGCAGAGACGAAAGUCGGCGUUAGUGAUCCUAUGGCACCGAAUGGAAGGGCCAUGGCUCAUCGGAUAAAAGCUACCCCGGGGAUAACAGGCUAGUCUCUCCCAAAAGUUCACAUCGACGGGGAGGCUCGGCACCUCGAUGUCGGCUCGUCACAUCCUGGGGCUGAAGUCGGUCCCAAGGGUUGGGCUGUUCGCCCAUUAAAGUGGUACGCGAGCUGGGUUCAGACCGUCGUGAGACAGGUCGGUCUCUAUCCGCUGUGGGCGUAAGGGAAUUGAGAGGAUCUGCCCCUAGUACGAGAGGACCGGGGUGGACGGACCGCUGGUGUGCCAGUUGUCGUGCCAACGGCAUGGCUGGGUAGCUAAGUCCGGGAUGGAUAACCGCUGAAAGCAUCUAAGUGGGAAGCCAGCCUCGAGAUGAGUUCCCUCACAGGGUAACCUGGUAAGUGCGCUGGAAGACGACCAGCUUGAUAGGCGGUACGUGGAAGGGCCGUGAGGUCUGGAGCGAAACCGUACUAAUGCACGAGGGCUUAAUCC
rnacentral:rRNA from 1 species